rnacentral:lncRNA from 9 species
GUUUCUCUUUUUCAGGCGUAUUUUCUCAUCUUGUCUGAAGCUUUUGAGGGCAGACUACCAAGGCCCGGAGGAAUAGUAGAUGGUCUGUCUAGAAUUCCAAAGGCAAAUGACUCAAGGUAACAGGAAAAAAGAAAAUCCAGUAUCAGGAUAAUCAGAACACCACAGGUUUACAGUUUGUAGAAACUAGAACACGAGCAGCUCUCACUUAAGGUCUGUGAUGGAACUCCAGUGGAGAAAUGGCUGGUACUUUUUCCACCCCUUAAUCAGAUUUUUUUUUUAAUUAAAGUAUGUAACCGGUUAUUUUUACUUGAAGUAUUUUGGGGUGGUCUUAACAGGGAAGAGGGUGGGGGAGAAAAUGUUUUUUUCUAAGACUUUCCACAGAUGCUAUAGUACUAUUGACAAACUGAGUUAGAGAAGGAUUGUACUGCUAUGCUGUUGGCACCAAACACCUUCAGGGAUUGGAGCUGCUUUUUUCCUUGGAGUAUUCCCAGUGAAGCUGAAAUAUACAGCACAGUGCAGCUUUGGUUCAUAUUCAGUCAUCUCAGGAGAACUUCAGAAGAGCUUGACUAGGCCAAAUAUUGAAGUUAAGUUUUCAAAUAAUGGAACUUUUUAAGAUGCCUUUUAAAGGGGAGGGGCAAGUUUUGGCAAUUAGUUGGCAGUGGCCUGUUUUGGUUGGGGUUGGGUGGGUUGGGUUUAGGUAAUUGUUUAGUUUAUGAUUUCAGAUAACUCAUGCCAGAGAACUUAAAUACUUAGGAUGGAAAAACUAAAGAAAUCUCACCUCCCAAGUUGGAGCUUCAGAGCAAAGGAAGUGGCUUAAUGAUCCUGAAGGGAUUUCUUCUGAUGGUAGCUUUUAUAUUAUCAAACAGGUUUCUCAUUAUCAGAAGAGUUGCUUCAUAUCAUCUGGGAGCAGAAAACAGCAGGCAGCUGUUCACAGAUAAGUUUAACUUGCAUCUGCAGUAUUGCAUGUUAGGGAUAAGUGCUAUGUUUAAUAAGAGCUGUGGAGGUCCUAGGUCCCUUACUCAAGGGAUCUCAGGAUUUUGA